ACGAACGCUGGCGGCGUGCUUAACCCAUGCAAGUCGAACGGUGAAGGGACCAGCUUGCUGGUUCUGGAUGAGUGGCGAACGGGUGAGUAACACGUGAGUAACCUGCCCCCUUCUUCUGGAUAACCGCAUGAAAGUGUGGCUAAUACGGGAUAUUCUGGGUCUGUCGCAUGGCGGGCCCGGGAAAGAUAUUGCUUCGGUGGGGGAUGGGCUCGCGGCCUAUCAGCUUGUUGGUGGGGUGAUGGCCUACCAAGGCGGUGACGGGUAGCCGGCCUGAGAGGGUGGACGGUCACACUGGGACUGAGACACGGCCCAGACUCCUACGGGAGGCAGCAGUGGGGAAUAUUGCACAAUGGGCGCAAGCCUGAUGCAGCGACGCCGCGUGAGGGAUGGAGGCCUUCGGGUUGUAAACCUCUUUCGCCAGUGAAGCAGGCCUGCUCCUUGUGGGUGGGUUGACGGUAGCUGGAUAAGAAGCGCCGGCUAACUACGUG
rnacentral:rRNA from 1 species